rnacentral:lncRNA from 1 species
GGGCAGAUCUUCUUCCUUUAAGUGAUAAAAGAUGCAUGCUGUGGUUGCUUGAGCGAUUGAUGGUUGUAAUAAGAAAUAUCCAGAAGGGGAAUGGAAAAAAGAAUCAUGUAAAAAGCAUCCCUUUUGCCUCAGGAUAACAACAAAAUCCAACAGAACAGUACAUGUCGGUUGCAUGGUUAGAAACUGAUGAAAGGAUUUCGAUGAUAUGGAAGAUGGGUCAACAAAUCCUACUAAUGGCUUGAGUUUGGAUUGUCUUUUGGUGAUAAAGAGUGGUGUUUGUGCACACCAUUUAGACUAAAAGGUCCAUAUGAUAUCAGACUUGUGUAAAGUGAGGUGCAUAAGCACUUCAAUAGGUCCACAAUAGAUCUACAGCAGUAUUAGAUGGAUGAAUAGCAGAUAUAGGCUCUUUUUUCCUUUUUAAGCUUGAGGAUAUUAUAAAAGAGUAUCUUGAUAUGGCAAAUAUGGACUUAACAUUCAUAAUUUCAUAUAGUAUAUAUAACAAGAUGCAAGCAGACAAGGACGAGAUUUGAUUGCAUUGCAGAUGAUAAAUUUUGUACUGACAGAGAGUAUGAUGUGCCAUUUUGGUGUUUGACACUGGAUAAAUUAUUAAACGCUAUAGCUUUUAGCCUUCCUCUCAUAUAAGUUUUUCUAAAUAAAAUUUCUAUAACCUCACAUGCACGAAAUCAAGAUUCGCUAUCUCGGUACCAGAUCCCGUACCGGUGCCACACUAGCACAGUUUUGGUACGAUACAUAAUUUUUUUAGCGUGCCGAGUAUCCGAACGCCACCCAUAUCGGAUACUAGUAUGGAACCGGCACGGUACGACGCUCCCCGUACCGCCCAGUACAGCAUACCUUGCACGAAAUCAUGUAUGCAGGUAUGCAUCAAUUAGCAGACAUCUACAUUAAUACAUCUGUGUUUUGCGUGUCUAAUCACACAUGCAAGUAUGUCUUGAACAAUGAAUAGAGACACGUGCACGCAUGCGCGCGCGCAUAUAAUUCUCUAAAUAAAUUUCUAUAAUCUCGCGUGCAGAAAAUCAUGUAUGCAAGUAUGCAUCAAUUAGCAGACAUGCACAUUAAUACAUCUGUGUGUGUGCGCGCGCAUGUACGUGUCUUUAUUCAUUGUUCAAGACAUACAACAUGCAUGCAUGCAUGCA